rnacentral:rRNA from 1 species
GGGCACUCUAGGGGGACUGCCGGUGAUAAGCCGAGAGGAAGGUGUGGAUGACGUCAAGUCCUCAUGGCCCUUACGGGCUGGGCUACACACGUGCUACAAUGGCGGUGACAAUGGGACGCGAAAGGGCGACCUUUAGCAAAUCUCAAAAAGCCGUCUCAGUUCGGAUUGUACUCUGCAACUCGAGUACAUGAAGGUGGAAUCGCUAGUAAUCGUAGAUCAGAACGCUACGGUGAAUACGUUCCCGGGCCUUGUACACACCGCCCGUCACACCAUGGGAGUUGGUUCUAC